GAUGAACGCUGGCGGCGUGCCUAAUACAUGCAAGUCGAGCGAACAGAUAAGGAGCUUGCUCCUCUGAAGUUAGCGGCGGACGGGUGAGUAACACGUGGGUAACCUACCUAUAAGACUGGGAUAACUUCGGGAAACCGGAGCUAAUACCGGAUAACAUUUAGAACCGCAUGGUUCUAAAGUGAAAGAUGGUUUUGCUAUCACUUAUAGAUGGACCCGCGCCGUAUUAGCUAGUUGGUAAGGUAACGGCUUACCAAGGCGACGAUACGUAGCCGACCUGAGAGGGUGAUCGGUCACACUGGAACUGAGACACGGUCCAGACUCCUACGGGAGGCAGCAGUAGGGAAUCUUCCGCAAUGGGCGAAAGCCUGACGGAGCAACGCCGCGUGAGUGAUGAAGGGUUUCGGCUCGUAAAACUCUGUUAUUAGGGAAGAACAAAUGUGUAAGUAACUGUGCACAUCUUGACGGUACCUAAUCAGAAAGCCACGGCUAACUACGUG
rnacentral:rRNA from 1 species